GACGAACGCUGGCGGCGUGCUUAACACAUGCAAGUCGAACGAUGAACUUGGAGCUUGCUCGGGGUGAACAGUGGCGAACGGGUGAGUAACACGUGAGUAACCUGCCCCUGACUCUGGAAUAAGCGCUGGAAACGGCGUCUAAUACCGGAUACGACACGCCUCCGCAUGGGGAGCGUGUGGAAAGUUUUUCGGUCUGGGAUGGUCUCGCGGCCUAUCAGCGUGUUGGUGAGGUAAUGGCUCACCAAGGCGAUGACGGGUAGCCGGCCUAAGAGGGCGACCGGCCACACUGGGACUGAGACACGGCCCAGACUCCUACGGGAGGCAGCAGUGGGGAAUAUUGCACAAUGGGCGAAAGCCUGAUGCAGCGACGCCGCGUGAGGGAUGACGGCCUUCGGGUUGUAAACCUCUUUCAGCAGGGAAGAAGCGAAAGUGACGGUACCUGCAGAAGAAGCACCGGCUAACUACGUGCCAGCCGCCGCCGUAACAC
rnacentral:rRNA from 1 species